rnacentral:rRNA from 1 species
CGGGUGAGUAACGCGUGGGUAACCUGCCUCAUACAGGGGGAUAACGAUUGGAAACGAUUGCUAAUACCGCAUAAGCGCACAGUACCACAUGGUACAGUGUGAAAAACUCCGGUGGUAUGAGAUGGACCCGCGUCUGAUUAGCUAGUUGGUGAGGUAACGGCCCACCAAGGCAACGAUCAGUAGCCGACCUGAGAGGGUGACUGGCCACAUUGGGACUGAGACACGGCCCAG